AGAACGAACGCUGGCAGCAGGCCUAACGCAUGCAAGUCGAACGCUCGUAGCAAUACGGGAGUGGCGCACGGGUGAGUAACGCGUGGGCACCUGCCCGGUGGUUUGGGAUAACCGUGGGAAACUGCGGCUAAUACCGGAUACGCCCCUAGGGGGAAAGAUUUAUCGCCAUCGGAUGGGCCCGCGUAGGAUUAGCUAGUUGGUGAGGUAACGGCUCACCAAGGCUACGAUCCUUAGCUGGUCUGAGAGGAUGAUCAGCCACACUGGGACUGAGACACGGCCCAGACUCCUACGGGAGGCAGCAGUGGGGAAUAUUGGACAAUGGGGGCAACCCUGAUCCAGCAUGCGCGUGAGUGAAGAAGGCCUUCGGGUUGUAAAGCUCUUUGGCGGGGACGAUGAUGACGGUACCCGCAGAAUAAGCCCCGGCUAACUUCGUGCCAGCAGCCGC
rnacentral:rRNA from 1 species